AGCUCAGUUGGUAAGGCUCUUGCUUCACAAGCAUGAGGACCAGAGUUUAAAUCUCUG
rnacentral:tRNA from 1 species